UACGUAGGGGGCUAGCGUUGUCCGGAAUCAUUGGGCGUAAAGCGCGCGUAGGCGGCCCGGUAAGCCCGCUGUAAAAGUCAAAGGCUCAACCUUUGAAAUGUCAGUGGAUACUGCCGGGCUAGAGUCCGGAAGAGGCGAGUGGAACUCCUGGUGUAGCGGUGGAAUGCGCAGAUAUCAGGAAGAACACCUAUGGCGAAGGCAGCACUCUGGGACGGUACUGACGCUGAGACGCGAAAGCGUGGGGAGCAAACAGG
rnacentral:rRNA from 1 species